rnacentral:rRNA from 1 species
UACGGAGGGUGCAAGCGUUAUUCGGAAUUACUGGGCGUAAAGCGCGCGCAGGUGGCAGGGCAAGUGGCAGGCGAAAUCCCUCGGCUCAACCGAGGAACUACCUGCCAAACUGCACUGCUUGAGUCCGGGAGGGGAGAGCGGAAUUCCUGGUGUAGCGGUGAAAUGCGUAGAUACCAGGAGGAACACCGGUGGCGAAGGCGGCUCUCUGGACCGGAUCUGACGCUCAUGCGCGAAAGCGUGGGGAGCAAACAGGAUUAGAUACCCUGGUAGUCCACGCCCUAAACGAUGGGCACUAGGCGUCGCGGGUGUCGACCCCUGCGGUGCCGUAGCUAACGCGUUAAGUGCCCCGCCUGGGGAGUACGGUCGCAAGGCUGAA